GGUGAAAAUGACCUGAAAUCAAUGAGUUUGAACACUGGACACUACAUUCCGUGUUUGUGUAUAAAGUCAUGUUUAGCGGACAUGCGAGUUCAUUCCCAGAAGCUAUGGAUGCAAGACUGGGACAACAGGAGCUGACCCUGACAGGAAGCUCAUCUCAUAAUGAUAUUCCCCACACCGUGCUGCUACUUGCAGAGCUUUGCUGGGGAUCUCCAGGGCAGCUUGUGGACAAACAGGAGGUGACGCCUAUGAAAGGAGACACUGUCAGUAUUCAGUGUCACUAUACUGACAUUUACAUUGACAUGAUGUGGUGUAGGAUGGGCAGGGGCUCCUGUGUAGAGAAUUCUGGGAGUUUGGAUGGGAGGCCUGUGGAGCUCAGUGA